rnacentral:rRNA from 2 species
AGGAAGGUGGCGGGGUGCUAUACAUGCAAGUCGAACGAACUCUGGUAUUGAUUGGUGCUUGCAUCAUGAUUUACAUUUGAGUGAGUGGCGAACUGGUGAGUAACACGUGGGAAACCUGCCCAGAAGCGGGGGAUAACACCUGGAAACAGAUGCUAAUACCGCAUAACAACUUGGACCGCAUGGUCCGAGCUUGAAAGAUGGCUUCGGCUAUCACUUUUGGAUGGUCCCGCGGCGGUAUUAGGGCUAGAUGGUGGGGUAACGGCUCACCAUGGCAAUGAUACGUAGCCGACCUGAGAGGGUAAUCGGCCACAUUGGGACUGAGACACGGCCCAAACUCCUACGGGAGGCAGCAGUAGGGAAUCUUCCACAAUGGACGAAAGUCUGAUGGAGCAACGCCGCGUGAGUGAAGAAGGGUUUCGGCUCGUAAAACUCUGUUGUUAAAGAAGAACAUAUCUGAGAGUAACUGUUCAGGUAUUGACGGUAUUUAACCAGAAAGCCACGGCUAACUACGUGCCAGCAGCCGCGGUAAUACGUAGGUGGCAAGCGUUGUCCGGAUUUAUUGGGCGUAAAGCGAGCGCAGGCGGUUUUUUAAGUCUGAUGUGAAAGCCUUCGGCUCAACCGAAGAAGUGCAUCGGAAACUGGGAAACUUGAGUGCAGAAGAGGACAGUGGAACUCCAUGUGUAGCGGUGAAAUGCGUAGAUAUAUGGAAGAACACCAGUGGCGAAGGCGGCUGUCUGGUCUGUAACUGACGCUGAGGCUCGAAAGUAUGGGUAGCAAACAGGAUUAGAUACCCUGGUAGUCCAUACCGUAAACGAUGAAUGCUAAGUGUUGGAGGGUUUCCGCCCUUCAGUGCUGCAGCUAACGCAUUAAGCAUUCCGCCUGGGGAGUACGGCCGCAAGGCUGAAACUCAAAGGAAUUGACGGGGGCCCGCACAAGCGGUGGAGCAUGUGGUUUAAUUCGAAGCUACGCGAAGAACCCUUACCAGGUCUUGACAUACUAUGCAAAUCUAAGAGAUUAGACGUUCCCUUCGGGGACAUGGAUACAGGUGGUGCAUGAUUGUCGUCAGCUCGUGUCGUGAGAUGGUGGGUUAAGUCCCGCAACGAGCGCAACCCUUAUUAUCAGUUGCCAGCAUUAAGUUGGGCACCUUCUGGGUGAAGACU